UUUCCGUAGGUGAACCUGCGGAAGGAUCAUUAAAGUUAUAGUCCCCCGGCCCUCUGGGCUGGGGUCUUCUAUACCGCCCUUUGUUUAUUACACCUUUGUUGCUUUGGCAGGCCUGCCCUCGGGCUGCUGGCUCCGGCCGGCUCGCGUCUGCCAGAGGACCUAAACUCUGUUUGUAUAUGGAGUCUGAGUACUAUAUAGUAGUUAAAACUUUCAACAACGGAUCUCUUGGUUCUG
rnacentral:misc_RNA from 1 species